UGGGGAAUAUUGGACAAUGGGCGAAAGCCUGAUCCAGCCAUGCCGCGUGUGUGAAGAAGGUCUUCGGAUUGUAAAGCACUUUAAGUUGGGAGGAAGGGCAGUAAGCGAAUACCUUGCUGUUUUGACGUUACCGACAGAAUAAGCACCGGCUAACUCUGUGCCAGCAGCCGCGGUAAUACAGAGGGUGCAAGCGUUAAUCGGAAUUACUGGGCGUAAAGCGCGCGUAGGUGGUUCGUUAAGUUGAAUGUGAAAGCCCCGGGCUCAACCUGGGAACUGCAUCCAAAACUGGCGGGCUAGAGUAGGGAAGAGGGUGGUGGAAUUUCCUGUGUAGCGGUGAAAUGCGUAGAUAUAGGAAGGAACACCAGUGGCGAAGGCGACCACCUGGGCUCAUACUGACACUGAGGUGCGAAAGCGUGGGGAGCAAACAGG
rnacentral:rRNA from 1 species